rnacentral:rRNA from 1 species
UACGGAGGGUGCAAGCGUUGCUCGGAAUCACUGGGCGUAAAGCGACCGCAGGCGGCCUGACAAGUCGGAUGUGAAAGCCCUUGGCUUAACUGAGGAAGUGCAUCCGAAACUGGCAGGCUAGAGUACUAAAGAGGGUCGCGGAAUUCCCGGUGUAGAGGUGAAAUUCGUAGAUAUCGGGAGGAACACCGGUGGCGAAGGCGGCGACCUGGGUAGAUACUGACGCUGAGGUGCGAAAGCGUGGGGAGCAAACAGG